CCAAAAUCAAACCCUCAAGACAAUGAAAAGAUGCUGCGAUGUGCUUUUUGAGAGCUAAACUCCUACCCAGCUUCACCUUGCAAAACCCGGACUCUACAGGGACACACACACAAACACCCCCCGGUUUUCAACCAGAGAUGCGAGCGCGCAGCAAAAGCGUUUKCACUGCUUUCACGGCCGUCUGGUGUCUGUCGGUCUGCUUUUCUCCUGCUGUCCAGGUUGCAGCAAAGCGCCUGGUGACCGCUGGCGUCUCCUUUCACUGCCGUGCAAGCUGCAAACAGGUAUUAACCCCUUGUUCGCUUUACUGA
rnacentral:lncRNA from 1 species